CUGCAAUGCGACCAUCUUUGAAGUUACUAAAUGCAAUACCCUGCAAAAGAAAAGCAUUUUAAUCACUGAAUAUAUACAGUGUGAUUUGUACAAGGCCAAAGUCAGGCCUAAACAUCAUCAUAAGCUUCUCCCUCCUAUGUCAUGAUACUGCACAAUGUUUAUAGAAUGGAGAAUGACAUUUGAGCGUACAUUCCGAAAGCUCUUUAUAAGCCGAAAAAAAACACUUUCAUCAUCACUCAAUGCAUCACUGUCUUGCUUACACCACAGUUAAACUGCAACAUAUCUCCACCCGUCCCUCAGAGUGCAGAUUCAAUGGUGUUGAGGGAGUUGAUGAGAGCUGUUUGUCUCUUGUCAAGCAAUUCGUGGAGGGUGUCGAAGCAAUUUCGAACCUCCUUUUCUGCCUCUGCUCUCCUCUCCUGAAGGCUACGGCAAACAUCCUG